rnacentral:rRNA from 1 species
UACAGAGGUCUCAAGCGUUGUUCGGAUUCAUUGGGCGUAAAGGGUGCGUAGGUGGCGCGCUAAGUCGGGUGUGAAAUCCCGGGGCUUAACCUCGGGACUGCAUUCGAUACUGGCGUGCUUGAGGACUGGAGAGGAGACUGGAAUUUACGGUGUAGCAGUGAAAUGCGUAGAGAUCGUAAGGAAGACCAGUGGCGAAGGCGGGUCUCUGGACAGUUCCUAACACUGAGGCACGAAGGCCAGGGGAGCAAACGGG